GCCUGAGUAGCUCAGUUGGUUAGAGCACCUGUUUUGUAAACAGGUUGUCGCGAGUUCAAAUCCCGCCUCAGGCUCAA
rnacentral:tRNA from 1 species